GGAACUCCAGGGAGACUGCCGGUGAUAAACCGGAGGAAGGUGGGGACGACGUCAAGUCAUCAUGGCCCUUACGAGUAGGGCUACACACGUGCUACAAUGGCGCAUACAGAGGGCAGCCAACUUGCGAAAGUGAGCGAAUCCCAAAAAGUGCGUCGUAGUCCGGAUUGGAGUCUGCAACUCGACUCCAUGAAGUCGGAAUCGCUAGUAAUCGUGGAUCAGAAUGCCACGGUGAAUACGUUCCC
rnacentral:rRNA from 1 species